GGCGGGGCGGCGGCCUGACGGCCCCUUCUUUCUCAUCUCUUCAUGCACUUCUCUUUCAGCUGCUUUGAAUCAAUCGUGCCUUGACCUAAUCCGCAGCUUCUUGCUCUUCCUGUGCAGGUGCAGAUGCUGAUAUGGAUUCCAUGACCUGCUCUGAGGAACGCCCAUUGCGGCAGCCUUCUUGGGUUUGAGCCGAACGAUCCCAGGGUGAGCUUGUCCCUCCUCUGUUCCUUUCCAUGUGUUUGCAGUUGCCCUAUAUUAAUCAUCUGACACUGGCUUUGGUAUCUAUUUCUUUUCUCAUGUCAUUCACAAACCUUUCUUUUACCUAUCUUACAUAAUCAAUUAUUAGUGUUGGCUAUUCCCAGAAAUGUUUGGUAGUGUUGGGUCAUCCCGUGUGGUGAGGAUUUUUUUUCCGUUUUAGAAAUUUUUUUGGAUUGCAGAUGGCUAGAUUUGAGAUCCUUGCAAACUCAGAUCUUCUAUAACUAGCUGAUGUCUUUUAGUGAAUAACAUAAGUAGAAGUUCCAUCUCAGGUUCCAUCUUCUAUAGUAAUUAUAUUGUGUUCUUUGUAAAGCUUUUGUUGGAAAGAAGACCUUCUGCUGUCACUGUUUUAUUUACUUGUAGAAGGAACAAGAAAAUUUUGCUAGCAGUAAGGCUGCUGAUAUUCUCAUCUACCUCAGGAAUACACUGAAUCACGGGUUCUUAGCUAAAGCAGCAGUUGUUAGAUAUAAACUAACCACAUAUUCAGAGUUAUGAGGCCUCCAAGCAUAGGUGGACAGCCAUUCCUUCUAGCAGCAUGCUUGCUUGUGGAAAUACAUUGCUUGAACAGUGUUUAGGCCGAUCUGAUAUAAACCAAACCAAAACUGUGAACACAUUGCAGAACCUCUUGCUUUUAUGGUUCUCAGUUAUCAAACCAAUUAGGAUUCCUUAAUGUGGUAGUGAACCAAACAUUGUUCUCAGUGAAGGGUUGUGUUUAUUGGUUACCCAUUUUUGUGUUUAAACUAUUCUGAACUUUUCUAAAGAAAACUAUUUCCAUACACAAUGGGCUGGUCCGGCUGGAUGGGCCACCCCCCAUAGUUUAGGCCUGAGUCAGGUACGCCUUCUUUGUUGAGUCAUGUGCUGCUACUGAGUUAUUGCUUGUCUGCUUUAGAAGUUGUGAUCAUCCUGGAAUGUGAUAACUUAGCACUAAUGUUGGCAAAUCUGAGAUAGGGUGGGUCUCCAUCAUUGCAUUUCUAUUUGUUCGAAUCCAUGGAUUGCAUUUCUGUCUGUACUCUAAUGAUGCAGUUGGGGUAUAGGUGUGCGCUCUUAUAGACUUGCAAAAUUUUGUUCCUCGCCUUGAGACUUAAGUGCGAAGGAAUGAAGGGCUCAUCCUAAAGGAUGUCAAUUCCCAUGUGAUUGUUCAGCUUAUAUUGCACUAAUUUAUAUGGAUUCAGGGUGACCCGGUGAAAGAAGAACUAGAGUGAAGGGAAGAGAAUUGGAACUAUAUGGCUGUUCAACAAUCAGUACAGCUGAGAGAAGGUUGCAAGACUUAAAUGCGAGAAGCCAGAAACAAGGGUCCAUUGGUUACUCAAUUAAAUUUGAAGAUACUCCAUGUUUUCUAAAUUCCAAGAAAAGAUUAGUCUUUGACAGCCCAUCUGAGCAUUGUAUGGGAUUGCUGUUUCUUUCUCGUAUACCAAAAAAAAGUGCAGCAGUCUGAACCUUUUCUGAUCAGAAGCAUUACUCUGAUAAAAUAAAAUACAUGACAAGGCUUUGGUUGCUGCUGCAGAUGCACCUGGUAGCUCCUCUACAAAGACAUGGAAAAGCACUACAAAGAAAAGGUCCUGUCCAUCCCCUAACAAGAAAGUUGCUAAGAAGAUAUUUACUGGUGAAGAAACUGCAGAUGGUAGUUGUAGCAGUGACGGUGGUGCAGCCACCUCUGAUUAGAACAUUCCAAGCAAGGAUGCAUGAGCAGUGAAGCUCAUGUUGCUUUUGUCUAACAGUUGCAGCCGGCUUUUUAUGUGCCCUUGGUCUCCGGCAAGAAGAGUCCAAUGCAUGGGACCUAGACCCUGCAUUGACCUCAAUCUGCAAACUGUGUAGCACGGUGUCUAGCUUGCUACCAAAUGUGCUGAUUUUAUAUUGAAUCCAUCUUAUACCAUGCGUAUGAUUUAGUUGUUAUUUUUUAUUAUCUUAUGCUUACUUACAUUUGACAGUUUAAAUGGCAGGGCGCGUCGGCGCCUCGCCGAAUGUUAGUAUAUAGGAAAACAUGGGCUUCCACAGUCGUGUGGAUCGCAGUCGUUAACGGAGGGAGAGAUGAUUCCUCCGAGCAGGUUCGGCCCGCCCAAAAGGAAUAGGAUUAGCCUGCCGCGAGGCGAGGCCGCGAGGAUAAGCACGCCAACGCCGUGCGAGCAUACAAGGGCGUCCGCAACAGCGGGCGAUUUGGGCCAGCGAUUUCAUUCUUUAAUCGAUGAACAGUAGACACACAGUAGUGUUUGCUAGCGAGGAGUUCGGCGCCGAUGGAUUUGAGCGACGAGAGAGCGCGCGGGCCCGAAGAAUAAAUGCAGCCGGCGACGUCGCUAGCAGCUGGCGAGGACCGUUGCGGACGCCCUAAACGCGGCCGCCGUCUGACACAGACUGCUGCGGACGGAUCCAUCGGGCGGACGCGUGACGAACGGGGAACCAAGCCUUUCCUUUAGGGUUUACGGGGAUGGGAACUGUGCACGGCAGUGCAAGGACCCAUGCAUCGUCCCACACACGGUUCAAUGCACUCGCCCCGGUCGCCGCGUCGAUGCAAAUAAUCAGCUCUCUGGCGUCCGUCCACGCUGUGGCGCGAGCAUGCAUUUCCGAGCGAUGGCGGCCAUGGGCCAUGUCGCGUCUCGUUUUCCCCGGUGGAGGGGAGUGAUAAAAAAAUUUCUAUCUCUAUCCAUACUAUUUCUAAAUUAAAUAA